rnacentral:rRNA from 1 species
UACGAAGGGGGCUAGCGUUGCUCGGAAUGACUGGGCGUAAAGGGCGCGUAGGCGGCGCAUUUAGUCAGGCGUGAAAUUCCUGGGCUCAACCUGGGGACUGCGCUUGAUACGGGUGUGCUUGAGGAUGGAAGAGGCUCGCGGAAUUCCCAGUGUAGAGGUGAAAUUCGUAGAUAUCGGGAGGAACACCAGUGGCGAAGGCGGCGACCUGGGCCAAUAUUGACGCUGAGGUGCGAAAGCAUGGGGAGCAAACAGG